rfam:Camelus ferus unplaced genomic scaffold scaffold2641, whole genome shotgun sequence.
GUGGGUAUAGCUCAGUGGUAGAGUGCCUGCUUAGCAUGCAUAGGGUCCUGGGUUCUAUCCCCAGUACCUCCA